rnacentral:misc_RNA from 1 species
UUAAGUUCAGCGGGUAUUCCUACCUGAUCCGAGGUCAACAUUUAGAUAGUUUUGAUGAGACAAGCCCCAGCCGCCCUCCAUAACGAUACUUGUACGUCUGAGGUUGGUUGAAACCGUCGCUGAUUUUUAGGUAUGCCCUCGGGCAGUACCCAACAACAAACAGUGAAGUUUGAGGGGUGUAAUGACGCUCGGACAGGCAU